rnacentral:rRNA from 1 species
UCCGGUGGCCAUAGGGGAGGGGAAACACCCGGCUCCAUUCCGAACCCGGAAGUUAAGCCCUCUACCGCCGAUGGUACUGCUCUGGAGACGGAGUGGGAGAGUAGGUCGCCGCCGGGC